UAGAUCUCGACUGCUGGAAUGCAUCGAGAUCUAAAGCUCCGGCGCCUAAGGAUGGGUCUGCGGCCUAUCAGGUAGUAGUGGGUGUAGCGUACCUACUAGCCUACGACGGGUACGGGUUGUGAGAGCAAGAGCCCGGAGAUGGAUUCUGAGACACGAAUCCAGGCCCUACGGGGUGCAGCAGGCGCGAAAACUUUACAAUGCUGGAAACAGCGAUAAGGGGACCUCGAGUGCCAGGUUACAAAUCUGGCUGUCGUGAUGCCUAAAAAGCAUUGCAUAGCAAGGGCCGGGCAAGACCGGUGCCAGCCGCCGCGGUAACACCGGCGGCUCGAGUGGUAACCGUUAUUAUUGGGUCUAAAGGGUCUGUAGCCGGCCGGAUAAGUCUCUUGGGAAAUCCAGCAGCUCAACUGUUGGGCUUUCAGGAGAUACUGUCUGGCUCGAGGCCGGGAGAGGUGAGAGGUACUUCAGGGGUAGGGGUGAAAUCUUGUAAUCCUUGAAGGACCACCAGUGGCGAAGGCGUCUCACCAGAACGGACCUGACGGCAAGGGACGAAAGCUAGGGGCACGAACCGGAUUAGAUACCCGGGUAGUCCUAGCCGUAAACGAUACUCGCUAGGUGUCGGCCACGGUGCGACCGUUGUCGGUGCCGUAGGGAAGCCGUGAAGCGAGCCACCUGGGAAGUACGGCCGCAAGGCUGAAACUUAAAGGAAUUGGCGGGGGAGCACCACAACGGGUGGAGCUUGCGGUUU
rnacentral:rRNA from 1 species